rnacentral:rRNA from 1 species
UUCUAAUAUAGAAUAUAUAUAUUAUUAGUAAAACCUGCUCAAUGAAUUUUAAAUAGCCGCAGGAUUUUUACUGUGCUAAGGUAGCAUAAUCAUUAGCCUUUUAAUUAAAGGCUUGUAUGAAAGGUUAAACAUUUUAAUUUCUUUCUUAUUAAUAAUAAUAUAACUUACAUUAAGUAUAAAAAUAUACUUAUUAUUUAAUAAGACGACAAGACCCUAUUGAACUUUACUAAAGUUUAGCUGGGGCAGCUAAUUAAUUAUAAUUUUAAUUUUAUUACUGUAAAUUAAAGACCCAAUAUCGUUGAUUAUUUGAAUUAAGUUACCAUAGGGAUAACAGCAUAAUUUUAUUUUAAAGUUCAUAUUAAAAAAAAGGAUUGUGACCUCGAUGUUGAAUUAAUGUUCCAUUUAUGACGCAAUAGUAUACAAUGUAGGUCUGUUCGACCUUUAAAACAUUACA